AAUUGCUAAAAAUUACCUAAUUAAAAAGGCUAAGGGCGCCACUUCCAAUGGUUUCGUGUGACUGAAUUGGAACAGUAACUCAGUUAAAUAAACUCCAACCUUCUAGGCCGCUUUGACACGAAUGCCUCGUUUCCUGAGCGGUCCAGUCCAGUCCGAUGCAGACAGUUUACCUCCCUGUGAAGAAAUGGAGGAGAUGAAAGUGGAUUACAGAAGGAGACCCCUCUUCAUUGUGGAGAAGAUGUCCAGCUGGUGACCACAGUCAAAUACAUAAGCCUGGCCAUGUCCAAAGACUCUGCAUGUGUCACAAACACUGCCAAAUCACUAAAAAAGCUUGCCAGAAACCUAAUUUUUAUGUGUUGAAUUGGGACAUCACAGCAGGAUGGCAACUGUACAGGGUCAGGCCAGAACCUGCGUAGAAGCCUCUUAAAAAGAAAAAAAAAUAGUUCUUGUAGUUUAAUCAACACAUACAGAAAGACCAACCAACUACUUUUCUUCUCCAAUCAGACAAAAACCUGUGGAACAUCCUUUUUGAAGCUGUCAGGC